rnacentral:rRNA from 1 species
CGACCCCAGGUCAGACGGGGUUACCCGCUGAAUUUAAGCA